ACUUUAUUGGUUCAGUGGCAGAACGUCUGCCUCGUAAACAGAAGGUCGCUCGUUCGAUCCAGCAUGAAGCA
rnacentral:tRNA from 1 species